CGAGUAAGUCGGACAGUCGCGUGAUAAAUCACGAGGAAAGUCCGGGCUCCGCAGAGCAGGGUGCCGGAUAACGUCCGGUGGAGGCGACUCUAAGGAAAGUGCAACAGAAAUACACCGCCGCUUUUGCGGUAAGGUUGAAAUGGUGAGGUAAGAGCUCACCGGCGGUAUGGUAACAUGCCGGCCAUGUAAACCCCACCCGGAGCAAGAUCAAAAUGGACCUGAAAAGCGGCUGCUCGUCGCAGGUCCGAAGGUGGAUCGCUUGAGCCUUUUGGCAACAUCAGGCCUAGAAAGAUGGCUGUCUGAGACAGAACCCGGCUUACAGACUUGCUCGCAAA
rnacentral:RNase_P_RNA from 1 species